rfam:Gasterosteus aculeatus cont1.009257, whole genome shotgun sequence.
GGGUUUGUGUAAUGUAAGUCGCUUUGGAUAAAAGCGUCUGCUAAAUGACAUGUA